GUGGAUUAGAUACCCUGGUAGUCCACGCCGUAAACGUUGGGCACUAGGUGUGGGUCUCAACCAACGAGAUCCGCGCCGUCGCUAACGCAUUAAGUGCCCCGCCUGGGGAGUACGGUCGCAAGACUAAAACUCAAAGGAAUUGACGGGGGCCCGCACAAGCAGCGGAGCGUGUUGCUUAAUUCGAUGCAACGCGAAGAACCUUACCUGGGUUUGACAUGUCGGGAAAAGCUCUAGAGAUAGGGUGUCCUUCGGGGCCCGACACAGGUGGUGCAUGGUCGUCGCCAGCU
rnacentral:rRNA from 1 species